GAUGAACGCUGGCUACAGGCUUAACACAUGCAAGUCGAGGGGAAACGACGGGGAAGCUUGCUUCCCCGGGCGUCGACCGGCGCACGGGUGAGUAACGCGUAUCCAACCUGCCUCUGACUGAGGGAUAACCCGUCGAAAGUCGGCCUAAUACCUCAUGGCAUCGUCUGCGGGCAUCCAACGACGUUUAAAGAUUUCAUCGGUCAGAGAUGGGGAUGCGUCUGAUUAGCUUGUUGGCGGGGUAACGGCACACCAAGGCGACGAUCAGUAGGGGUUCUGAGAGGAAGGUCCCCCACAUUGGAACGAAGGCACAGUCCAAACUCCUACGGGAGGCAGCAGUGAGUAAUAUUGGUCAAUGAGCGAGAGCCUGAACCAGCCAAGUAGCGUGCAGGAGGACGGCCCUAUGGGUUGUAAACUGCUUUUAUGCAGGGAUAAAGUGAGGGACGUGUCCUUCAUUGCAGGUACCGAAUGAAUAAGGACCGGCUAAUUCCGUG
rnacentral:rRNA from 1 species